UACGUAGGGUCCGAGCGUUGUCCGGAAUUAUUGGGCGUAAAGAGCUCGUAGGUGGUUUGUCGCGUCGUCUGUGAAAUCCCGGGGCUUAACUUCGGGCGUGCAGGCGAUACGGGCAUAACUUGAGUGCUGUAGGGGAGACUGGAAUCCCUGGUGUAGCGGUGAAAUGCGCAGAUAUCAGGAGGAACACCGGUGGCGAAGGCGGGUCUCUGGGCAGUAACUGACGCUGAGGAGCGAAAGCAUGGGUAGCGAACAGGAUUAGAUACCCUGGUA
rnacentral:rRNA from 1 species